rnacentral:rRNA from 1 species
AACGUAGGUGGCGAGCGUUAUCCGGAUUUACUGGGCGUAAAGGGUGUGCAGGCUGCCCCUCAAGUGGUGUAUGAAAGGGCUCGGCUCAACCGGGCUAGGUUAUGCCAGACUGAGGGGCUAGAGCGCGAGAGCGGGACGUGGAAUUCCGGGUGUAGUGGUGAAAUGCGUAGAGAUCCGGAGGAACCCCAGAGGCGAAGGCGGCGUCCUGGCUCGCAUCUGACGCUCAGACACGACAGCAUGGGGAGCGAACGGG